rnacentral:rRNA from 1 species
UACGGAGGGGGCGAGCGUUAUUCGGAAUUAUUGGGCGUAAAGCGCACGUAGGCGGAUAUUUAAGUCAGAGGUGAAAUCCCAGGGCUCAACCCUGGAAUUGCCUUUGAUACUGGAUAUCUAGAGUACAGAAGAGGUAAGUGGAAUUCCGAGUGUAGAGGUGAAAUUCGUAGAUAUUCGGAGGAACACCAGUGGCGAAGGCGGCUUACUGGUCUGUUACUGACGCUGAGGUGCGAAAGCGUGGGGAGCAAACAGG